rnacentral:rRNA from 1 species
GUUACUGCGAAGGGGGGACGGAGAAGGCUAUGUUGGCCGGGCGACGGUUGUCCCGGUUUAAGCGUGUAGGCUGGUUUUCCAGGCAAAUCCGGAAAAUCAAGGCUGAGGCGUGAUGACGAGGCACUACGGUGCUGAAGCAACAAAUGCCCUGCUUCCAGGAAAAGCCUCUAAGCAUCAGGUAACAUCAAAUCGUACCCCAAACCGACACAGGUGGUCAGGUAGAGAAUACCAAGGCGCUUGAGAGAACUCGGGUGAAGGAACUAGGCAAAAUGGUGCCGUAACUUCGGGAGAAGGCACGCUGAUAUGUAGGUGAAGUCCCUCGCGGAUGGAGCUGAAAUCAGUCGAAGAUACCAGCUGGCUGCAACUGUUUAUUAAAAACACAGCACUGUGCAAACACGAAAGUGGACGUAUACGGUGUGACGCCUGCCCGGUGC